GGGGUUUGGCCUUCUCUUUUGA
rnacentral:tRNA from 1 species